AAAUGUCAAAAAAUGCCGUUUAUCGCAUUUUGCAACCAAACUCUUCAUAUGUAUGUGUGUGUUAUGACUGUAUGACUGCAGAAGAGAACUGCUCUGUUCCCACAACUCAGUUUUUCUGGGACUUGAAAACAGACGCUGGGCAGAUUUUAAAGGGUGGAAUCUUGAUCAAAUCGUGGGUUUACACACAAACAUGUAAUACAGUGCCAGAUUUUCUGGAUGUUAUAUACACAUUUGUAUUUGCAAACAUAUAUCAUAUUGUUUUAAAUGAUGUAUUUUUGUGUGGGUUUUUACAUUCAGAGAAAGUUACAGUGGAUCGUGAUUUUGGAGAAGGUGAAGUCCAAUCUAAAAGAGUCCCCUCAAGUAUCAUCACCAUGGUACAGUGUGUGUGAAGAUAGUGAAGCAGACCCAGCAUUCACAAAAAAGAGAGGUCCCAUAAAGAGAAGAUCCUGGAGCAAACAGGAAGUACAUGCUGUGGUGAAAGCUGAACCAUUGGCUCUAAAAUCCAGAGAUUGGUCAGCUUUGGAUUUUUAUAUUAAAAACUGAAUCUCGGCUCUUUAGAAAAAAAAAAUUCUGAAUAACACUUUCAUAGUAACUACACACUAUACAUCAUUAGUUUAGCACUAACUCUACAUUAAUAGACUUUAGGAAGCAGUUUAUAAAUACAGCUUCAAACGCUGUAUUCUUGACUUGACUUAAUUGUAUUUUCAUGCUU